rnacentral:rRNA from 1 species
AGUUACUGCCAUACCACCCACCCUGAAUGUGGCUGAUCUUGUCUCAUCUCAGAAGCUAAGCAGGGUUGGGCCUGGUUGUUAGUACUUG